rnacentral:rRNA from 1 species
CAGUCGCCGCGGUAAUACGUAGGGUGCAAGCGUUAAUCGGAAUUACUGGGCGUAAAGCGCGCGCAGGCGGUUAUGUAAGACAGUUGUGAAAUCCCCGGGCUCAACCUGGGAACUGCAUCUGUGACUGCAUAGCUAGAGUACGGUAGAGGGGGAUGGAAUUCCGCGUGUAGCAGUGAAAUGCGUAGAUAUGCGGAGGAACACCGAUGGCGAAGGCAAUCCCCUGGACCUGUACUGACGCUCAUGCACGUAAGCGUGGGGAGCAAACAGGAUUAGAUACCCCUGUAGUCCCUGUCUCUUAUAC